UGGGGAAUAUUGCACAAUGGGCGCAAGCCUGAUGCAGCCAUGCCGCGUGUAUGAAGAAGGCCUUCGGGUUGUAAAGUACUUUCAGUCGGGAGGAAGGUGGUAAGGUUAAUAACCUUAUCAAUUGACGUUACCGACAGAAGAAGCACCGGCUAACUCCGUGCCAGCAGCCGCGGUAAUACGGAGGGUGCAAGCGUUAAUCGGAAUUACUGGGCGUAAAGCGCACGCAGGCGGUUGAUUGAGUCAGAUGUGAAAUCCCCGGGCUUAACCCGGGAAUUCCAUCUGAUACGGGUCAGCUAGAGUCUUGUAGAGGGGGGUAGAAUUCCAUGUGUAGCGGUGAAAUGCGUAGAGAUGUGGAGGAAUACCGGUGGCGAAGGCGGCCCCCUGGACAAAGACUGACGCUCAGGUGCGAAAGCGUGGGGAGCAAACAGG
rnacentral:rRNA from 1 species